GGGGAUAUAGCUCAGUUGGUAGAGUCUUGCCUCAUGUGCACAAGGCCCUGGGUUCAAUCCCCAGUACCACCA
rnacentral:tRNA from 1 species